GGGCUUACUUCAGCAGCACAUAUACUAAAAUUGGAACAAUCCAGAGAUUUGCGUGACCUCUGCAUAAGGAGGACACUCGGGUUUAUGAAGAAAAGGCAGAGCAUUCCUUU